UACGUAGGUGGCGAGCGUUGUCCGGAUUUAUUGGGUUUAAAGGGUGCGUAGGCGUCCCUGCAAGUUUUAGGUGAAAUGCCCAAGCUCAACUUGGGAGCUGCCUGAAAAACUGCCGGGAUUGAGUACAGAUGAGGUAGGCGGAAUUGACGGUGUAGCGGUGAAAUGCAUAGAUAUCGUCAAGAACACCGAUAGCGAAGGCAGCUUACUAGGCUGUAACUGACGCUGAUGCACGAAAGUGUGGGGAUCAAACAGG
rnacentral:rRNA from 1 species